rnacentral:lncRNA from 1 species
GAUUGUGAAAAUGUUAUUUGGUAAUUAUGAACGAUCCCCAAAUGACCACCAGCUUUUAAUUGCUAUCUUACUUACAUGUCUCCCUUUUUUUGGCAGACUGUCCCGGAUAGCCUUGAUCAAUAAAGCAUAACAUUGGUCAUCUAUUAAACGGAUUCGAAGUAUGAUGAAUCGAAACACUGGUCCACCUGCCGACUACACAAAGACAGCAAGCUUGCCUGUCCAUAUAAAAGGGGGUCAUUCUCAGAGCUAAGAAAUCUCUCGUUCUCAGAGCUAAAAUGAGGCCGAUCAUUUAGCCGUCAUCCUCAAUUUGCGUUCAGCGUGGGAUUUACUAGCUGUCAUUAUGAGCAGGAUAUUCAUGAUAGCGCGGCGGGUGUUCGCAAGGCGAGAGUGUAGUUCGUUUGUCUGUGUACGAAAAAAGGACGCAUAUAGUGAGCAUUCAUCAAAUAAUUGUCGGAACUGGAAAAAAAUGUGAUCUUGAGAUCCUGAAUCCUGAUGAACAUUUUCCUUAGCAAGAGGACCUUGAAAUGUUUCACACAUAUUCCUUAUCUCAUUUGGGACAUGUAACACAAAUACAAUCAAGUACACUUUGUUUUGGCAUGUAUAAUGGAGUAAUGUACGGUCAGAUGUUCUAAUGUUUUUACUGAUUUUGAGGAACAUUUGAAACAGGCGAAUUCAGGAUCUGAAGAACAUUGCAUACUUUUUUCAGGUCUGGUAGUGAUGAGCCAUUUUUGCACAUUUUACCAUUGCUAUUAGGCGACGUAAAAUGCGCAAAGAUCCGAGAGGCAGGAAUAACGUUAAAAUAGUUGAUGAUGUUAAAAGUAGGGUGAGGAUUUAGUCUGUGUUGGGAUUUAGUCUGUGUUGGGAUUUAAGUCUGUGUUGGGAUUUAGUCUGUGUUGGGAUUUAGUCUGCAUGUUGGGAUUUAGUCUGCAUGUUGGGAUUUAGUCUGCAUGCAUGUUGGGAUUUAGUCUAUAUUAUUGAAUCAGUAGUUUAGUUGUUGACUGUAUUGCUUUAUACAAUGCAUGUUACGCGUGCACCAUAUUAAGCUUUAGCAAUGUGUGUAAAUGUUGGCCAUGCGAAUAAAGACCUUAUAUAAUCGCUGGU